GUCGAACGAGGUCUGUAGCAAUACAGAUACUCGUGGCGAACGGGUGCGUAACACGUGGAUAACCUUCCUUCAGGUGGGGAAUAACCCAGUGAAAAUUGGGCUAAUACCGCAUAACAUGACGAUGGCUCAUGCUGUUGUCUUCAAAGCCGCAAGGCGCCAGAAGAGGGAUCCGCGGCCGAUUAGCUUGUUGGCGAGGUAAUGGCUCACCAAGGCAUUGAUCGGUAGCCGGACUGAGAGGUUGACCGGCCACACUGGAACUGAGACACGGUCCAGACUCCUACGGGAGGCAGCAGUGGGGAAUCUUGCGCAAUGGACGAAAGUCUGACGCAGCAACGCCGCGUGGGGGAUGAAGCUUCUCGGAGUGUAAACCCCUUUCGACCCGGACGAAUGCCCGCAAGGGCUUGACGGUACGGGUAUAAGAAGCCCCGGCUAACUACGUGCCAGCAGCCGCGGUAAAACGUAGGGGGCCAGCGUUGCUCGGAAUUACUGGGCGUAAAGGGUCCGUAGGCGGUGUGGCAAGUCGGAAGUGAAAUCUCUGGGCUUAACUCAGAGGCUGCUCCCGAAACUGCCAUGCUAGAGUGCGAGAGAGGCGAGUGGAAUUGCGGGUGUAGCGGUGAAAUGCGUAGAUAUCCGCAGGAACAUCCGAGGCGAAAGCGGCUCGCUGGAUCGCAACUGACGCUGA
rnacentral:rRNA from 1 species